rnacentral:rRNA from 1 species
UGCCUGUAAGACUGGGAUAACAUUCGGAAACGGAUGCUAAUACCGGAUACGCGAGUCGGUCGCAUGACGGAUUCGGGAAAGACGGAGCAAUCUGUCACUUACAGAUGGACCUGCGGCGCAUUAGCUAGUUGGUGAGGUAACGGCUCACCAAGGCGACGAUGCGUAGCCGACCUGAGAGGGUGAUCGGCCACACUGGGACUGAGACACGGCCCAGACUCCUACGGGAGGCAGCAGUAGGGAAUCUUCCGCAAUGGACGAAAGUCUGACGGAGCAACGCCGCGUGAGUGAUGAAGGUUUUCGGAUCGUAAAGCUCUGUUGCCAGGGAAGAACGCUUGGGAGAGUAACUGCUCCCAAGGUGACGGUACCUGAGAAGAAAGCCCCGGCUAACUACGUGCCAGCAGCCGCGGUAAUACGUAGGGGGCAAGCGUUGUCCGGAAUUAUUGGGCGUAAAGCGCGCGCAGGCGGCUAAUUAAGUUCGGUGUUUAAUCCUGGGGCUCAACUCCGGGUCGCACUGGAAACUGGUUGGCUUGAGUACAGAAGAGGAAAGUGGAAUUCCACGUGUAGCGGUGAAAUGCGUAGAGAUGUGGAGGAACACCAGUGGCGAAGGCGACUUUCUGGGCUGUAACUGACG